CUCAAACUGAAGAACGAAACUUUCGUCUGUUUUGUUUUCUUGUGGAUGUUGAUUAAUUUAAUGAGUACAUGUAAAUUUAUGAUUCAAUAAUGUGAAAAACUGUCGUUCAUGUUAAAAAGUCAUGACCUCUUUUGUUCCAACAGUCUUUAACUUCGAAAUGUUAUUUUCUAAUCGCAACAUUUUUCUAUCAAUGAAAAAAUUGUAUAUCAAUUUAUAUUCUUCAAUAGUUAUCUUUGGGUGUAGAUAGUUGCCUCGUGUUUUCUGCUUAUAAUAUACAACGAUACGAUAAUGAGAUGAAUCUUUUCAACUCUGCAGAUUUGUUUUUACAUAUUUCUCGAUAUGACAUAUUACAGUCAUUUGACUUGUGAUAUUCACUUUGGACGAUGGCUCAAGUGAAAGUGGGCAUGGUCAUGGUUAGUGAUGGUAAAAGUCGUCCUCAACCAAUGAGAUUGCAGUUAAGCAACACUAUGCUAGUUUUACAAAAGGAAGAAAUGGUUCCUGUAGGUUUGCCUCCAGCUUCCACUUCUGGUCCAAUCUCACAUGAUAGUAUUGAUGCACAAGAACGAAUUGUUAAGGUCAUAAGACAAGAAGUUGGAGGCUUAGGUUUGAGCAUUAAGGGUGGAGCAGAAAAUAAACUACCAAUUUUGAUAUCAAGAAUAUUUAAGGAUCAAGCUGCUGACCAGACUGGUGAUCUCUUUGUUGGGGAUGCUAUUCUUAAAGUGAAUGAUAUAAGUCUUGAGCAUGUCAAUCAUGAUGAUGCUGUGAAUGUUUUAAGAACUGCUGGAGAUGAAGUGACAUUACGGGUGAAACAUUAUAAACCAGCUCUUCCUUUCUUAGCGAAAACUUUGCAAAAACCUAAGGAGAGGCCUGUUUCAGGAGAAGAUCCAACGUAUAAAUUAAAGGAUGAUGAUGAUGAUUGGAAAGUGGGCCAGAAAAGUCCAAAAACACCUCAAGGGGCUUCCAGAAUGGAAAGAAGAUGGGUUGAUGUUAUGACUAUCAACUUAUUAAUGGCUUAUUUAACCCGAUAUAUGCUGGAUACUGAUAAGCUAAGACCCAAUGCCUUUGAAAUUCGAAGUCAGGAGGGAAAACCAUCUGCAGUUGUUCAUUGUGAUGAUGCAAAUAUGUUAUCAGAGUGGAUAAAACAUAUUUCAACCAAUAUACUUCAAUUAACCGCACAACAAAUUAAAACUUUUAAUGAAUCAUUCCCUCAACCUGAUCAGAUUUCAUAUAUGGGUUGGGUUACUGAAGGAACUCCUGCCCCUCAGCCUUGGUACAAAUGGCAACCUCGCUUCCUAGCUCUUAAAGGAGCAGAAUUGUUUUUAUUUGAAUCUCCCCCUAGUAGUGUACAGUCCUUGUCGAGUUGUCCAAAUGUGUUCAAAGUUUAUCAAGCUAUGUUAAAAAUUUUAAAAGAUACUGAAUACAUAGAUGAGCGUCAAAAUUGUUUCAUGCUCCACACGGGUGCAUCAGAUACUCAUUACAUGUGCUCAGAAACUAAAUCAGAAUUAUUAAGGAUAGAAAAUGGAUGGCAUAGAGCUACUUACAAUGCAGUCACUAGAUUAGGAAGUAAAACAUUUUCUGUUGUAUAUAAGGGAAAAACUGGAGGUUUAACUCUAGAUUGGAAUAUGGGAUUUGCUCUCUAUGAUACUGAGGCAAAGUGUUAUGCAUGGCGAUAUAAAUUUUCCCAACUGAAGGGUUCAUCAGAUGAUGGAAAAAGUAAAUUGACUCUAAACUUCCAGGAUCCUGAAAAAAAGGAAGUAGAAUCAGAGGAGUUAGAAUGCCAAUUAUUGUCAGCUCUUCUAUAUUGUAUGCAUGCCUUUUUAACCGCUAAAGUUGCCUCUGUGGAUCCAGCCUUUCUGCGUACUACUUGAGCAUCAGUGAUAAAAUCGUUUGUUUUUAAAUAUCAGCUAGGUGACCUUGCUGCUGCCAGUAUAGGGCCCAAGUUUGUUGCCUCAUCAUAGCAUAUCUCUAAUAGGAAUUUCUCAUUGCACUCAUAAAAACUCUCACAACCAUUGGUAUAUGUUUCAGAUAUUGAAACUUCACUGUAUAUUUUCAAGUAAUCAAAAAUGACAAGCUAAAUUACUGCCAUAAAUGAAAUUAUUUUUCUUAAAAUUCAAACAAUGUUAAAAUUUUCUUUGUUAAGAAUUUAUAAUCAUAAAUCCAUUGUUGAUUGUUCCAUUAAACAUAUCAAAAUGUUAUACAUUUUUUAAUCUUAUGAAAAAUCAGUUGCUUUUAAGUAAUACAUUCAGUAAAAAAUUUAUUGCAUAAUCUGUAAUUGUAAUAAUAACUGCAUAAUGUAAAAAGAUAAAUGUAAAAAAAUAAUGUUAUCGUGCCAGUAUUUACUAUGCAUAACUUGCUCAUAUUCAUCACCUGCCUUAGAUGCUAUGUAGUCUUACACAUGGUACACUAAUUCAUAUUAUCAUCUGCUAUCUUAUAUACGAGUUUUGUUUAUUACAAAAAAUGAAAGACAGAUUUCAAUGUUUUUCGAUUGUGACAGCAAUUUUAAAUUUUAGAAUGUACGUCUUGUAUUUACUUUUUAGAUUGUUUUGCGUUUUUGUAAUGUUAAAGAAAAAUACUUAAAAUUAUGUUAUAUUCAAUGAGUAUUUUGUAUUAUAUAUUUCUACAUCAAAAUCCUUGUAUACUGUCAUUGAAAAUACUUAAUUUACAAUAUUUAUAUUUGUUGCUAUCAUGAACGAAAUUAUGAUGUUUUCUCUGAAUUGAAAGAUUAAUUUUUUGAAAUAAGUAAUUUUGUUUAAUUUUACUGAAUAAUGAUUUCGUAACGCUAAAUUCACUUACAUUAGUUUUAGAGCUGCUUUCAUUAGGAAAGCUAUAAAAAAAUUAAAUACUUUUUUUAUUGGUUUGUGUUCUUUUAAAUAUGUUUGGUGUUUAACAUUAUUUACUUAAGACACUGCAGUACAGUUUACUUAAGACACUACGGAAAUUCUGUUUUUCUUAAUUUUACUUGUGCAAAAGAAUCUUAUACCAUACUUUUUAAGCUAUUGAGAUUUAUUUUUAAGUAUAUAAAGAUAGAUAUUAAAAUUUUUGACAGUGUUACUUUAAAAAAAGACAACUUUUUAAAAGAAAACUGCAACAAUUUUUUUUUUAAUUUAAAGCCAAGAAAUUAGGGACAAACACUUCACUUGGAGUAAGUGUUUUAUGCUUUAUUAUCUCAGUAAAACUUUGAAUAUGAUUUUACAUUGGGUAAAAAGUAUUUGACAUUAUUAUUUUUUUUUUCAUCUUAUAUUUUUUCUUUGCCACUCUGACUAGUUUUUUUUUUAAUUUUCUUUACUAUUAUCAAUUUCUUUAAACAUAUUUGUAAUGUUUUGUAAUGUAAUUUUUUAUUGUUCUAAAUCAAGAUUUCAUAAUCAUGUUCUAAAUCAUAAAUUUUAAUGUGCCUUUCUAAUUUUUUUUAAAUGGUUAUGCUUUGGAGUACAUUACUAUAUAAUUAGAUUAUUAAUUUUUACUAGCUACAUAAAAGUGCUUUAAAAAUAGUUUGCUUAUUUUGAUUUCUUUUGUCCGUUGUUUUUUUCUUCAAAGAAUACUAAUAAUAGAAUACUUAUUCUAGUUGCAUUUAUUUAAGAAUGCAUUUUCUUUAAAAUGGUUUAUUGAUUAUUUAAUAAUACUUUUGAUAGUUCAUAAUUCGAAAAAAGAAUUUAUUUGUCAUAAAUUUCAUUCAUGAUAGUUUAUAAAAUUAGUGCCGCUUACUUUGACUUAUAUUUAAUCUUAUGUAAUUUUUGUGUGAUAUAAUGUUAACAAAAUCAAAUGUAAUUUUUGGAAAAUAUGUUUGAGUCAAAAUGGUGCCUUUUUGUUUUCCUAUCUUGUUCAAUGACCUCAGUGCCUUUCCCUGUUGUCAACUUACAUUUAAUUUCUCUUUUUCAUUGAUUUUUUAUUCAAUCUAAGAAUGUAAGUUCUAUUAUCUGACAUCAUAACUGGUGUAUAAUUUAUUUUUAUUGUUAAAACAUUUUAUGGUACGAAAUAAAAGUUUUAGCUGUA